UCACCGCUUGCGCGGGCAGUUUUCUUAGAGUCCCCGGCCGAACCGCUGGCAACUAAGAAUAGGGGUUGCGCUCGUUACGGGACUUAACCCAACACCUCACGGCACGAGCUGACGACAACCAUGCAGCACCUUGCAGGCCGUCCGAAGAAAGGCUGAUUUCUCAGCCGGUCGUCCUGCAUUUAAGCCCAGGUAAGGUUCCUCGCGUAUCAUCGAAUUAAACCACAUGCUCCACCGCUUGUGCGGGCCCCCGUCAAUUCCUUUGAGUUUCACCCUUGCGGGCGUACUCCCCAGGUGGAUCACUUAAUGCUUUCGCUAGGCCACUGACAGUAUAUCGCCAGCAGCGAGUGAUCAUCGUUUACAGCGUGGACUAC
rnacentral:misc_RNA from 1 species